rnacentral:lncRNA from 1 species
GUCUGCCUUCCAGCUAUGCACUGCGAAAAGAAAUUGCCAGUGGAUGAGAUGGCAGAAUCAGUGGAACGUGUGUGACCUUCACCACAUUGUUGAAUGAUGGCUCAUCGGAAGAUAUAAAGAGUAAAGGACUGCUGGGCAAGACGAUCGAAUAAAAAACAACCCAGAGGUCAGGGGAUUAUCUUCUUUCAAGACUUUCAAGACUUCAAUGACUGCACCAUUAUCACCAGACAAAUCUCCAAAAGUCACUCCCGAGUUGGCCUGAAAUCAAGCACGAAGCAAAAGGUAUGUUUUCUUCCCCUCUGCAUUGUUCCUUUAGAAUACCAUUAUUUUGGUAGAU